UACGUAGGGUGCAAGCGUUAAUCGGAAUUACUGGGCGUAAAGCGUGCGCAGGCGGUUGUAUAAGACAGAUGUGAAAUCCCCGGGCUCAACCUGGGAACUGCAUUUGUGACUGUACGGCUAGAGUGUGUCAGAGGGGGUGGAAUUCCACGUGUAGCAGUGAAAUGCGUAGAUAUGUGGAGGAACACCAAUGGCGAAGGCAGCCCCCUGGGAUAACACUGACGCUCAUGCACGAAAGCGUGGGGAGCAAACAGG
rnacentral:rRNA from 1 species